rnacentral:rRNA from 1 species
UACGAGGGGAGCAAGCGUUGUCCGGAAUUAUUGGGCGUAAAGAGCAUGUAGGCGGUUUGUUAAGUUAGGGGUGAAAGUUUGCGGCUCAACCGUAAAAUUGCCUUUAAUACUGGCGAACUUGAGUGCAGAAGAGGAAAUCGGAAUUCCUGGUGUAGCGGUGAAAUGUGUAGAUAUCAGGAAGAACACCGGUUGCGAAGGCGGAUUUCCGGACUAGCACUGACGCUGAGGCGCGAAAGCUAGGGGAGCGAACGGG